AAUCAACGCUGGCGGCGCGCUUAACACAUGCAAGUCGAACGAGAAAGCCGGAGCAAUCUGGUGAGUAAAGUGGCGUACGGGUGAGUAACACGUGGAUCAUCUACCUCUUAGUGGGGGAUAACCCUGGGAAACCGGGGCUAAUACCGCAUAAUCCUGUGAAGGGAAAGCAGCAAUGCGCUGAGAGAGGAGUCCGCGGCCGAUUAGCUAGUUGGUAGGGUAAUGGCCUACCAAGGCAAUGAUCGGUAGCCGGCCUGAGAGGGCACACGGCCACACUGGCACUGAAACACGGGCCAGACUCCUACGGGAGGCAGCAGUGGGGAAUCUUGCACAAUGGGGGCAACCCUGAUGCAGCGACGCCGCGUGAGCGAUGAAGCCCUUCGGGGUGUAAAGCUCUUUCGGCAGGGACGAUAAUGACGGUACCUGAAGAAGAAGCUGCGGCUAACUACGUGCCAGC
rnacentral:rRNA from 1 species